rnacentral:lncRNA from 1 species
ACGAAUAGCUUCCAAGCUGACAACUAGUGCAAAUGUCUCAAUAUAAUCAAUGCCCUCUUAUUAAUUGUAACUUUAUGCGACAAGUCUUACCUUGCCUUGUAAAUUCUUUAGAUUGAUACUGUUCAUAUUUUGUUAAGAUGACUUUCACAAAUCCUUCUGAUGAAACUUCUUUCCUAUUGCUUGCUUUGAUCAGGGCGGAAACAUAGUGUUGGACCGGUUCUUGAACUUUCACAAGUAGGAAUCUGACUAAGUCCAAUUAUGUAUUUUAUCCUUUAUCAAAAUAUGAUCAUAUAUUUGAAAUAAUAGAUAUAUCUUCUUGUGAGUGUUUCUUCUUGUAAACAAUUCUUGAUCAUAUCUUUUUGUAAAUAUUUCAUAUCUUCUUGUAGAUAAAUCUUGAUCAAAUCUUCUUGUAAAUAAUUCAUAUCUUCUUGUGAUAAAUCUUGAUCAAAUUUUCUUGUAAAUAAUUCAUAUUUUCUUGUAGAUAAA